rnacentral:rRNA from 1 species
GCAAGCGUUGUUCGGAAUUACUGGGCGUAAAGGGGGCGCAGGCGGCCACGCAAGUGGAAAGUGGAAAUCCGGGGCUCAACCUCGGACUUGCUUUCCAGACUGCAUGGCUUGAGUCCGGAAGAGGAAGACGGAAUUCCAGGUGUAGCGGUGAAAUGCGUAGAUAUCUGGAGGAACAUCGAUGGCGAAAGCAGUCUUCUGGUCCGGUACUGACGCUGAGGCCCGAAAGCGUGGGUAGCGAACAGGAUUAGAUACCCUGGUAGUCCACGCCGUAAACGUUGUGCACUAGGUGUGGGAGGUGUCGACCCCUUCCGUGCCGAAGCUAACGCAUUAAGUGCACCGCCUGGGGAGUACGCCCGCAAGGGUGAAACUCAAAGGAAUUGACGGGGGCCCGCACAAGCGGUGGAGCAUGUGGUUUAAUUCGAGGCAACGCGAAGAACCUUACCUGGGCUUGACAUCCCGUGUUACCUCUGGAAACAGAGGGUCCUCUUCGGAGGCACGGUGACAGGUGUUGCAUGGCUGUCGUCAGCUCGUGUCGUGAGAUGUUGGGUUAAGUCCCGCAACGAGCGCAACCCUUGUCCCUAGUUACCAGCGGUUCGGCCGGGCACUCUAGGGAGACUGCCCGUGAUAAGCGGGAGGAAGGUGGGGACGACGUCAAGUCAUCAUGGCCCUUACGCCCAGGGCUACACACGUGCUACAAUGGCCGGUACAAUGGGCUGCGAAGCCGCAAGGUGGAGCCAAUCCCAAAAAGCCGGUCUCAGUUGGGAUUGGAGUCUGCAACUCGACUCCAUGAACGUGGAAUCGCUAGUAAUCGCGUAUCAG